UGAGAGGGUAUUCGGAUCUUGCUGGAAUUGGUAGGGCCAAUUACAAGGACAGGACAACAACAGAAAGUAAAAGGGCAACAGUACAAUACCAUUGCCCUGGACGAAGAG
rnacentral:sRNA from 19 species